UACGGGGGGGGUAAGCGUUGUUCGGAAUUACUGGGCGUAAAGGGCUCGUAGGCGGCCAACUAAGUCAUACGUGAAAUCCCUCGGCUUAACCGGGGAACUGCGUCUGAUACUGGAUGGCUUGAGUUUGGGAGAGGGAUGCGGAAUUCCAGGUGUAGCGGUGAAAUGCGUAGAUAUCUGGAGGAACACCGGUGGCGAAGGCGGCAUCCUGGACCAACACUGACGCUGAGGAGCGAAAGCGUGGGGAGCAAACAGG
rnacentral:rRNA from 1 species